rnacentral:rRNA from 1 species
CCUACGGGUGGCAGCAGUGAGGAAUAUUGGUCAAUGGACGAGAGUCUGAACCAGCCAAGUAGCGUGAAGGAUGACUGCCCUAUGGGUUGUAAACUUCUUUUAUAAAGGAAUAAAACGAGGCACGUGUGCCUUUUUGCAUGUACUUUAUGAAUAAGGAUCGGCUAACUCCGUGCCAGCAGCCGCGGUAAUACGGAGGAUCCGAGCGUUAUCCGGAUUUAUUGGGUUUAAGGGGAGCGUAGAUGGGUUGUUAAGUCAGUUGUGAAAGUUUGCGGCUCAACCGUAAAAGUGCAAUUGAUACUGGCAGUUUUGAGUAGAGUUGAGGAGGGGGAAAUUCGUGGUGUAGCGGUAAAAUGUUUAGAUAUCACGAAGACCCCCGAGUGGGAGGGCAGUUUAUAAAACUGUGACUAACAUUGAUGCUCGAAAUUGUGGGUAUAAAACAGAAUUAGAUACCCCGGUAGUC